CUAUAGAUACACUAUGUUUUCUAUACGUCUGAGAAAUGCUAUUUUAUAUUCUAGGUAGUCUGGAGCGCUAAGCUAACGGUUAGCUAAAUGCUAACGGUUAGCUAAAUGCUAUCUGUCUAGAGCUAACGGUUAGCUAAAUGCUAUCUGUCAAGAGCUAACGGUUAGCUAGCUGUCUGUCUAGAGCUAACGGUUAGCUAGCUGUCUGUCUAGAGCUAACGGUUAGCUAGCUGUCCGUCUAGAGCUAACUGCUAUCUGUCUAGAGCUAACGGUUAGCUAAAUGCUAUCUGUCAAGAGCUAACGGUUGGCUAACUCUGUCUAGAGCUAACGGUUGGCUAACUCUGUCUAGAGCUAACGGUUAGCUAGCUGUCUGUCUAGAGCUAACGGUUAGCUAGCUGUCUGUCUAGAGCUAACGGUUAGCUAGCUGUCUGUCUAGAGCUAACGGUUAGCUAGCUAAUUGUCUAGAGAUAACGGUUAGCUAAUUGUCUAGAGCUAACGUUGGCUAAAUGCUAUCUGUCAAGAGCGCUAACUGAAUUGUUUGAAUAAUGGAGGGAAUUCAGGCCGGCUGAAUCUCAAUAGUCUGAAGAUGCUUCCUCCCUUCUCUUCCUCUCGCCUCCUCACCCCUCCUUCGUCUGCGCAGGAAAAACACAGGACAAGUGAAAGCGGGUAUAAAGAGUAUAUAUGAUGAGGGAAUUAGCUUUCAGGGUGACCAGGACACUUUCAGAUGAGAAGGAGGAGAAGACGAGCUGCUUUAGACUGUUGGGACGCUGUCUGGGUGAAGCAGUGUGUUCUGGGUAACAGAGGAGGACCUUGGCACAAGUCAACAAUUGAAAUGUUUUUAGGUUGAGACCCAGAGGAGACGAGACGGGUUCUACCAAACGAUCAGAGAACCUGUCACCAUAGUUAACGCUAAGCAGUAUUCUGUGGUUUGGGUCACGGGACCACAGGGGACCUCUUGUGUUAAAGGGACCUCAUUAAAGACUGUAGCAGAGCAGAGAGGAGGGUCUGUCUCCGCCCGUCUCACUAACUAACCACUCGUAG
rnacentral:lncRNA from 1 species